rnacentral:rRNA from 1 species
UACGUAGGGGGCUAGCGUUGUCCGGAAUCAUUGGGCGUAAAGCGCACGUAGGCGGCUAGAUAAGUCGGGUGUGAAAGCCCUGGGCUCAACCCAGGAAGUGCAUUCGAAACUGUCUAGCUUGAAUCUCGGAGGGGGUCAGAGAAUUCCCGGUGUAGAGGUGAAAUUCGUAGAUAUCGGGAGGAAUACCAGUGGCGAAGGCGCUGACCUGGACGAAGAUUGACGCUGAGGUGCGAAAGCGCGGGGAGCAAACAGG